GGGGCUGUAGCUCAGUGGCAGAGUUCUUGCCUAGCAUGCAUGAGGCACUGAGUUCGAUCCUCAGCACCACA
rnacentral:tRNA from 1 species